rnacentral:rRNA from 1 species
GAUGAACGCUGGCGGCGUGCCUAAUACAUGCAAGUCGAGCGAACGGACGAGAAGCUUGCUUUUCUGAUGUUAGCGGCGGACGGGUGAGUAACACGUGGAUAACCUACCUAUAAGACUGGGAUAACUUCGGGAAACCGGAGCUAAUACCGGAUAAUAUUUUGAACCGCAUGGUUCAAAAGUGAAAGACGGUCUUGCUGUCACUUAUAGAUGGAUCCGCGCUGCAUUAGCUAGUUGGUAAGGUAACGGCUUACCAAGGCAACGAUGCAUAGCCGACCUGAGAGGGUGAUCGGCCACACUGGAACUGAGACACGGUCCAGACUCCUACGGGAGGCAGCAGUAGGGAAUCUUCCGCAAUGGGCGAAAGCCUGACGGAGCAACGCCGCGUGAGUGAUGAAGGUCUUCGGAUCGUAAAACUCUGUUAUUAGGGAAGAACAUAUGUGUAAGUAACUGUGCACAUCUUGACGGUACCUAAUCAGAAAGCCACGGCUAACUACGUGCCAGCAGCCGCGGUAAUACGUAGGUGGCAAGCGUUAUCCGGAAUUAUUGGGCGUAAAGCGCGCGUAGGCGGUUUUUUAAGUCUGAUGUGAAAGCCCACGGCUCAACCGUGGAGGGUCAUUGGAAACUGGAAAACUUGAGUGCAGAAGAGGAAAGUGGAAUUCCAUGUGUAGCGGUGAAAUGCGCAGAGAUGUGGAGGAACACCAGUGGCGAAGGCGACUUUCUGGUCUGUAACUGACGCUGAUGUGCGAAAGCGUGGGGAUCAAACAGGAUUAGAUACCCUGGUAGUCCACGCCGUAAACGAUGAGUGCUAAGUGUUAGGGGGUUUCCGCCCCUUAGUGCUGCAGCUAACGCAUUAAGCACUCCGCCUGGGGAGUACGACCGCAAGGUUGAAACUCAAAGGAAUUGACGGGGGCCCGCACAAGCGGUGGAGCAUGUGGUUUAAUUCGAAGCAACGCGAAGAACCUUACCAAAUCUUGACAUCCUUUGACAACUCUAGAGAUAGAGCCUUCCCCUUCGGGGGACAAAGUGACAGGUGGUGCAUGGUUGUCGUCAGCUCGUGUCGUGAGAUGUUGGGUUAAGUCCCGCAACGAGCGCAACCCUUAAGCUUAGUUGCCAUCAUUAAGUUGGGCACUCUAAGUUGACUGCCGGUGACAAACCGGAGGAAGGUGGGGAUGACGUCAAAUCAUCAUGCCCCUUAUGAUUUGGGCUACACACGUGCUACAAUGGGCAAUACAAAGGGCAGCGAAACCGCGAGGUCAAGCAAAUCCCAUAAAGUUGUUCUCAGUUCGGAUUGUAGUCUGCAACUCGACUACAUGAAGCUGGAAUCGCUAGUAAUCGUAGAUCAGCAUGCUACGGUGAAUACGUUCCCGGGUCU